CGCAUGACAUUAUGGGCGUUUGAAUUCUUACUGGCUUAAUGAUGACGGGUCAUUAAUUCUGUAUCUAUAAAUUUCAGCUUUUUAAUUAACUUUGAAGUGAGUUUAAGACAUACUUGUAACGAUGAAGUUUUCAGGUACAUUUGUCCUUAUUCUGCUUUUGAUAUCUAUGGAACUGUUCACAACACCCGUGGAAGGUUUUCUUUGGGGGAGAAGAAGUAAACUGAAAGUGAAAGUAAAGGAUGGAAAAGUCAUAAUUAAGGCGAAAUCCAAAAGAAGCCUAAGCAAUCUUCUAAAAAUACCAGAUGCCCCAAGUGUUCCACUUCGCGCUUCGUUGAACUGAUCAGUUGAAGGAAUUUUUUAUGAUUUGUAGAAAAUCAAGAUUGAAGAUGUACAAUAAAUCUUUAUACACUUUU